UCUCCUUCCACCGCCCCCCACAACGUUCUUCUUCCGCCUCUAAUUUUGGGUUUAGGUUUUGAAGAUGCAAUUGACCCAAAACAAUAAGCAUAGAAAUGUCUGUUAUGGUGGAAGCUGAGACUACCAAUUGUCCCAAGUUUGAAGUUGAGAGUUUGGUUCCAGCAGAUAGAUAGUAGGGCAGUCAAGUCUCUGUCGGUGUUAGAGUCGAAUUCCUUCUCCUCUGUCACACCAUUUCCCGAAUCCCCAGUGAGGGAUUGCAACAUUUUUUCAUUCCCAACUCCAUUUCUGCUUCCUUUCUGGUACCAUAUCAACACUCUUCAAUUCUUCAGUGGAGGUCGUCGGCGAUUUGUGUUCUGAAAGCUUCUCCGAGAGUGAAAUAUGUAACGGUCAUAAUUUCUCUCUCUUUUCUCUUAUUAUUAUUUUUUAUUUUAUUUUAUUUCCUAUUCCUAUUCCUAUUAUUAGUUUCCUAAUCCUAUUACUAAUAUUAUUCUAUAUAUAUUCAGAAGUGAGUAGAGUCUUUUGUUGGUCCUUUGUAUUUCGUGAUUGCAGUUGUAGGAGUUUGUUUGUGGUGUUCCUUUGUAAGGUGGUGUUCCGUCAGCACGCCACCUCCAACUGCGGCGGUGGGAGGGAGCACAAGCGGCAACAACAACAACAACGUUAAUGUGGAAGCAGCACAAGUAGUCCCAGUCCAAGAACAGACACAAACUCCUUAAUGUUCGGCUUGAGACCAGCGGCGAAGACUUCAACAGUAGGAAAGAUUAUGGAUGUCCAGCAUACAGGAAAAUGGCUGGUCCUGGCGGGCGCACUGGACCGGGAUUCCGGCUCUCGGCCUUAGGUCUAAGUUGAACCGGAUCGUCUCCUCCCGGGUUCGGUGCUCGCCGCCUCUGGUUCGCAUUCACAGCUCUAUCUGCAUUCUCGGUUGGCCGGAGGUUGUGAAAUAGUUUUCGUGGCAGGACGCUGAAACGGUUGAUGUUUCGGCUCCGGUGCUGCUUGGACGACCACGGCCUCGGAUAUUAUCCAUUUUUUCACCCUCUUCUAAGCAUCUGCUACUUGCCUAUGGCCGGCGUCAUAGCUCUCUUCUUACACAUGAAUUCUUGAGGUAAGAUGUGUUAAAUUUUAUCCCUUUUUUUUGUAUAGGUGCCAUUAAAAUUUAUUCCUUUUUCAUCUCCUCCCGUAGUACUAUAUCACUCAUGCUGGGAUGUAAUUAUGAUGUGC